rnacentral:lncRNA from 1 species
CCACUAUCUAAACCAAUUAUCCAAAACCAUUAACCCAUAAAUCCAUAUACAUAAACCUAUAUACAUUUACCCAUGAACCCAUACACAUUUAACCCAUAUCCAAGCCCAUAACCUUAACCAAGUCCAUGAACUUUGAACCAAAACCAUGGACCAAACCAUACACUAAAUCCUGUGGACCAUACCAUACACCAAAUCCACGAAUUAUGAAUCAAGUUCAUGAAUCAAAUCAAGUUCAUGAGCCAAGGAUCAUAAACCACAACCCAUACACCAAGUCCAUGAACCAUAAACCCAUACACCAAGUUCAUGAACCAUAAACCCAUGAACCAUAAACCCAUGAACCAUAAGUCCAUAAACCAUAAGUCCAUGAACCAUAAACCCAUGAACCAUAAGUCCAUGAACCAUAAACCCAUGAACCAUAUCUAAGUUCAUGAACCAUAAUCCCAUAUGCCCAAUACCAUAAACCUUGUGAGCCAAACCCAAAUCAAUCGACCGAGAUGUCGUUAAACUAAUCCACUAAACCCAAACCUUCGACCGAAACGUCGUUAAACUAAUCCACCAGAUCAAUCGACCGAGACGUCGUUAAACUAAUCCUCCAAUCCGAUAUCUACCGAAAUGUCGUUAAACUAAACUCAAGUUCAAUUUUCAUGAACAUCCCAAUUCCCAAAAUAGUCGAUUCUCUAGCAUAUAAAACUAGAGUCAAAUCACAAUCAUGUUCAAACUUGAUCAAAUUCUAAACCUAUAUUUAGAAUU